rnacentral:misc_RNA from 1 species
GAAACUUCUCAAUCCACUUCAUAGGAUGUGGCUUGGAAAUGGGGGAUUUUGCUUGCAGGAUCAUCGUCUGCUCCCCUGAAACGUAUUAGUGGUAGACUUAUCCACAGGGUGUGAUAACUAAUCGAUGCCUUGGGGAAUAAACAUUGUCUAACUGCUUCCAACUUUUAAAUUUUGACCA